AUUGAACGCUGGCGGCAGGCCUAACACAUGCAAGUCGAACGAGUGGCGGACGGGUGAGUAAUGUCUGGGAAACUGCCUGAUUGAGGGGGAUAACUACUGGAAACGGUGGCUAAUACCGCAUACCAUCAGAUGUGCCCAGAUGGGAUUAGCUAGUUGGUGGGGUAACGGCUCACCAAGGCGACGAUCCCUAGCUGGUCUGAGAGGAUGAUCAGCCACACUGGGACUGAGACACGGUCCAGACUCCUACGGGAGGCAGCAGUGGGGAAUAUUGCACAAUGGGCGCAAGCCUGAUGCAGCCAUGCCGCGUGUAUGAAGAAGGCCUUAGGGUUGUAAAGUACUUUCAGCGGGGAGGCGUUACCCGCAGAAGAAGCACCGGCUAACUCCGUGCCAGCAGCCGCGGUAAUUC
rnacentral:rRNA from 1 species